CGUGCCUAAUACAUGCAAGUCGAGCGAGCUGAAUUCAAAGAUUCCUUCGGGAUGAUUUGUUGGACGCUAGCGGCGGAUGGGUGAGUAACACGUGGGCAAUCUGCCCUAAAGACUGGGAUACCAUUUGGAAACAGGUGCUAAUACCGGAUAAUAAAGCAGAUCGCAUGAUCAGCUUUUGAAAGGUGGCGUAAGCUGUCGCUAAGGGAUGGCCCCGCGGUGCAUUAGCUAGUUGGUAAGGUAACGGCUUACCAAGGCGACGAUGCAUAGCCGAGUUGAGAGACUGAUCGGCCACAUUGGGACUGAGACACGGCCCAAACUCCUACGGGAGGCAGCAGUAGGGAAUCUUCCACAAUGGACGCAAGUCUGAUGGAGCAACGCCGCGUGAGUGAAGAAGGUUUUCGGAUCGUAAAGCUCUGUUGUUGGUGAAGAAGGAUAGAGGUAGUAACUGGCCUUUAUUUGACGGUAAUCAACCAGAAAGUCACGGCUAACUACGUG
rnacentral:rRNA from 1 species